rnacentral:rRNA from 1 species
GACGAACGCUGGCGGCGUGCUUAACACAUGCAAGUCGAACGGAAAGGCCCUGCUUCUGUGGGGUGCUCGAGUGGCGAACGGGUGAGUAACACGUGAGUAACCUGCCCUUGACUUUGGGAUAACUUCAGGAAACUGGGGCUAAUACCGGAUAGGAGCUCCUGCUGCAUGGUGGGGGUUGGAAAGUUUCGGCGGUUGGGGAUGGACUCGCGGCUUAUCAGCUUGUUGGUGGGGUAGUGGCUUACCAAGGCUUUGACGGGUAGCCGGCCUGAGAGGGUGACCGGCCACAUUGGGACUGAGAUACGGCCCAGACUCCUACGGGAGGCAGCAGUGGGGAAUAUUGCACAAUGGGCGGAAGCCUGAUGCAGCAACGCCGCGUGCGGGAUGACGGCCUUCGGGUUGUAAACCGCUUUCGCCUGUGACGAAGCGUGAGAGACGGUAAUGGGUAAAGAAGCACCGGCUAACUACGUG